rnacentral:rRNA from 1 species
UAAUACGGAGGGUGCGAGCGUUGCUCGGAAUUACUGGGCGUAAAGCGUACGCAGGCGGCUUGGUGUGUCGGAUGUGAAAGCCCCGGGCUCAACCCGGGAACGGCAUUCGAAACUGCCGAGCUGGAGUUCGGGAGAGGGAAGUGGAAUUCCUGGUGUAGAGGUGAAAUUCGUUGAUAUCAGGAGGAACACCGGCGGCGAAAGCGGCUUCCUGGCCCGAUACUGACGCUCAUGUACGAAAGCGUGGGGAGCAAACAGGAUUAGAUACCCUGGUAGUCCACGCUGUAAACGAUGAGUGCUAGAUGUUGGAGGUAUUCACCCCUUCAGUGUCGAAGCUAACGCAUUAAGCACUCCGCCUGGGGAGUACGGCCGCAAGGUUA